rnacentral:tRNA from 1 species
GGAGAGAUGGCUCAGUGGUUAGAGCACUGGCUGCUCUUCCAGAGGACCUGGGUUCAAUUCCCAGCACCC